rfam:Ruminococcus sp. CAG:108 genomic scaffold, scf30
GCGCCAAUAGCUCAGUUGGUUAGAGCUACCGGCUCAUAACCGGUCGGUCCGGGGUUCGAGUCCCUGUUGGCGCA